GGAGUUAGCCGGUGCUUAUUCUGCGAGUAACGUCACAGAUGUAAGGUAUUAACUUACACCCUUUCCUCCUCGCUGAAAGUGCUUUACAACCCGAAGGCCUUCUUCACACACGCGGCAUGGCUGCAUCAGGGUUUCCCCCAUUGUGCAAUAUUCCCCACUGCUGCCUCCCGUAGGAGUCUGGGCCGUGUCUCAGUCCCAGUGUGGCUGAUCAUCCUCUCAGACCAGCUAGGGAUCGUCGCCUAGGUGAGCCUUUACCUCACCUACUAGCUAAUCCCACCUGGGCUUAUCCAUCAGCGCAAGGCCCGAAGGUCCCCUGCUUUCCCCCGUAGGGCGUAUGCGGUAUUAGCAGUCGUUUCCAACUGUUAUCCCCCACAAAUGGGCAAAUUCCCAGGCAUUACUCACCCGUCCGCCGCUCGUCAUCUUCAAAAGCAAGCUUUUGAAAUGUUACCGCUCGACUUGCAUGUGUUAGGCCUGCCGCCAGCGUUCAAUCUGAGCCAUGAUCAAACUCUGA
rnacentral:rRNA from 1 species